rnacentral:ncRNA from 1 species
GCAGAAACUUAGAUGAGGAGUAUUAAGAGCCUAUCGUUUUCAGAGAUCUGCCGGAUGGUGUGAGGCAGAAGCGUAAACUCCCAACUCGCCUUGGAGUUCUUUUAUUGAAACCGGAGUAGAUAAAAGCGGGACUUCCCGUUACAGAAGAAAUGAGUGCAUCCGGAAACCGCCGGAUGAAUGAGAGUGGUACCACGGAAGUCAAAGCCUUUUCGUCUCUUAA